rnacentral:tRNA from 1 species
GGGGAUUUAGCUCAGUGGUAGAGCGCUUGCCUAGGAAGCGUAAGGCCCUGGGUUCGGUCCCCAGUUCCG